rnacentral:rRNA from 1 species
UACGGAGGGUGCAAACGUUGCUCGGAAUCAUUGGGCGUAAAGCGCACGUAGGCGGUCUUUUAAGUCGGGUGUGAAAGCCCUGGGCUCAACCCAGGAAGUGCACCCGAAACUAGGAGGCUAGAGUAUGGAAGAGGGUCGCGGAAUUCCCGGUGUAGAGGUGAAAUUCGUAGAUAUCGGGAGGAACACCAGUGGCGAAGGCGGCGACCUGGGCCAAUACUGACGCUGAGGUGCGAAAGCGUGGGGAGCAAACAGG